GAGCUUGAAGAGAUUCAAGAGUCGAUAGAUGAAGGAACCUCUACCGCUGGCACUCAACCCGAGGAGGAAACUCCGGUUGAACCGAUUGACGAAUCCUUACCUCUUAGACGUUCCGAUAGAGUUAGAGUUCAACCCCAGUUUUAUGGUUUUCAUAUUACUACCGAAGGGGACACGUAUAUUAGUGAUGGUACACUAAUAAAUCUAGAUGAAUCUAAUAGCUAUAAGGAAGCCAUGGCAGGCCCGAAGUUUACGAAAUGGAAAGAGGCAAUGGACAGUGAGAUCCAAUCCAUGCAUGAUAACCAAGUUUGGAAUUUGGUUGAUAAUGUGCCCGGACGUAAGACCGUUGGGUGCAAAUGGAUCUUCAAGAAGAAGACCGACGUGGAUGGAAACGUACACACAUAUAAAGCGCGAUUGGUUGCGAAGGGCUUUACUCAAACUCCCGGAGUUGACUAUGAUGAGACCUUCUCACCAGUUGCGAAGAUUAAAUCUAUUAGAGUGAUGCUAGCAAUUGCCGCAUUUCAUGAUUAUGAGAUUUGGCAAAUGGAUGUCAAGACCGCUUUCCUUAACGGAAAGUUGGCUGAGGAUGUUUACAUGGCUCAGCCAGAGGGGUUUGUGGAUCCGAAGCAUCCGAAUAGAGUGUGUAAGCUUGAGAAGUCCAUUUAUGGACUUAAGCAAGCGUCUCGCAGAUGGAAUCUUUGCUUCGAUGAGAAAGUCAAAGAGUUUGGAUUUGUACGAAGCGAAGACGAAUCUUGUGUAUAUGUCAAAGCCAGUGGGAGUAUAGUAAGCUUCCUCGUUCUAUAUGUCGAUGACAUAUUACUCAUAGGAAACGACAUCCCGACUCUGCAGGAGGUUAAGUCCUGGCUCGGGAAGUGCUUCGCUAUGAAGGACCUCGGAGAGGCUUCUUACAUUUUGGGAAUAAGGAUAGUAAGAGAAAGAAGUAAGAGACUAAUAGGACUUAGUCAGAACACUUACUUAGAGAAGGUACUAAAACGUUUUAGUAUGGAAAACUCGAAGAAGGGAGAAUUACCGAUACAAAGUAAUGCCAAGUUGAGUAAGACUCAAAGUCCGAGUACCGAAGCUGAAAUAGCAGAAAUGAGCCGAGUACCAUACGCUUCCGCAGUUGGCUCAAUCAUGUACGCUAUGACUUGUACUCGCCCUGAUGUAGCCUUUGCUUUGAGCAUGGUUAGUAGAUAUCAAGGGAACCCUGGCAGAGCCCAUUGGAUUGCGGUGAAGAACAUCCUUAAGUACCUUCGGAGGACGAAGGAAUGGUUCUUAGUCCUCGGAGGGAGUGAUGACUUGAAGGUGCGAGGGUAUAGUGACGCCAGCUUUCAGACCGACAGGGACAACUACCGUUCGCAGUCGGGCUGGGUCUUUACCCUGAAUGGAGGAGCAGUAACUUGGAAAAGUUCCAAGCAGGAAACCGUAGCUGAUUCAACGUGCGAAUCAGAGUACAUUGCAGCGAGCGAAGCGUCGAAGGAGGCAAUAUGGUUAAAGAACUUCAUCGGUGAUCUUGGAGUUGUACCUGCCAUAAAGGAGCCCAUGGAGAUUUUCUGUGAUAAUGAAGGAGCGGUUGCCUUGACCAAGGAACCGAGGGAUCAUGGUAGAUCAAGACAUAUCGACAGAAAAUAUCACUUCAUUAGACAUCGUGUAGAAGAAGGACAACUCGUAGUGAAGAGGAUAUCAUCAGAAGAUAACCCAGCAGAUCCGCUUACGAAGGGACUGAGUAGGGUUAAGCACUUGCAGCAUGCUAGGAGUAUUGGGCUGAAGGAUGAUAUUAGUAUAGAUUAGAUAGUAUUAGAAACGUGUAAUAGAUAAAUGUAAUUAACAUUUGAUGAUUAAAUAAAAGAGUAUUAUUUAUGAGUAAUGUUACUGUCUUAUGUUAAUUGUUUAACUAUUGUUUCACUUUGCAUGUUUUGACUUCCAGAAUAAUUGAGUUUAUUAAGAAUAAUCGAAUUAUUCAAAUUGUCCACAAUCGUUCAUAUGUUGGAAGUAGGUAUGAAUGAAGAUUGUCAUGAAUUGGUGUGUAGAUUGUCUAAAUGGUAUUAGACAUAGCAAAAGUUUGCUGCAACGUUCAUGAGUGCUUAUGAACUAGUUUUGAGCAUUGGAACAAACCCGCGCUUGCUGGAAUCACCUUAUGGAAUGUGAUAAAAAGGGUGAUCGCAAGACGAUAAUAUCAUAUGGUCUUAAAACCUAGAUAUAUGGUUUGUUAUUUGUUAAUUGGUUGUACAUUGAUAAUGCGAAACCGCAUCAGUAACUUGAUGUUAUAAAACGCAUUGUUGUGUAUAGUUGAUUAAUGAAUAAGUAAAUGCAUAUAAGUCGAAGUUUAUCUGUUACUUUUAUCCUAAGAGGGUAAAAGCGAUAUCUCGGCCGCUCGAUGAUUUGAUUUGACUUAUGUGCCGGGCCCGGUCAGAACUGAAUUGAUGUGUUCGAUUAAGUUCUAUGUCAAAUAAAUCGGAGAUCGAGAAACCAAAUGCUAGACAAAUUGUUCCAUAGAAUUGUCAGCAUGAUAUCUAAACAGAGGACUGUACGAUCCCUUAUCUAAAGGCCAAGAUUGAUUAGAUCAGAGUUUGACAGCGUCUUUGAGAGCUACGAUUGCUAAUCGGAUUAUACUUGUGUAUAUAGUUACUAGACUUAUCCAAGUGGGAGACUGUUGGAAUAGUGUCUAAGGCAGCAACUAUAUUAGGCAAGUAUUUGACCCGAUUGUGCAUGGUCCUUUUGGGUUGCCUUCACCAUAGCAACUUGACAGGAUGAUCUAUGAUUAGAGAAUAAAUAUUAUUUAUAUAUUAUGAGAAUAAUAUAAGUAAUAAUAAUAUUGUAUUUUUUUAAUAUAAGUCAUAAAUUAAUUAGGAAUUAAUUUGGUGACUUAAAGAGAUUAAUUGAAUAAAAGGGCAUAAACUGUCAAUUGUAUGAAAGUUGUACUUUGGGCUGUAAUCCCUUAAGGAUAAGGGGUGGACGGUUUUAGGGCUUUGGAUAGACCUAGAAAUCAUCCAAGGCUUAUCAUAAGGGGAAUUGGAUUGCUUAGGGCCUAAGUUAUCCAAUUAGGGUUUAAGGGUGAAACCCUAGGAGCCUUUAUAGGUAUAAAUAGACCCAAGGGGCCAAUGAAAUCGGCACUCUUGCCUUUGGAAGAACCCUGGCCGAUUUCUUGCUCCCUCCCCUCUCUCUCUAAUCAUCCUCUUGCUAAGUUGGUGUUUGUAAGCCAUUAGAGGAGUGACAAUUGUGACUCUAAGCUCUAAGGACAAGAAGAUUCAAGCAAGAAACUUAAGGUAAUCUUCUAGAUCUGUUUUUCUUAUGUUAUUACCUAUAUCUAUUGUUCAAAAGUCUUGGAUUCAAUGCAUGUUCAAUUAGAGAAACCUAGAUCCAAGCAUUAGGGUUUGUAUGUGCACAUAGGAAUGUUCAUAUGGCUAAAACCCAUCAAGAAGUCCAGUUCUUGGGUCACGUUGUUAACCAAGAAGGGAUAACGGUUAACCCUGCAAAAUCGAAGCUGUAAUGAAGUGGGAACGUCCAAAGAGUCCUACGGAGAUCUGAAGCUUUCUAGGAUUAGCCAGAUAUUAUCGAUGAUUUAUCUGAGGUUUUUCUUUGAUAGAUGCUCUAUUGACAACUUUGACCCACAAAGGAGCUACGUAUACGUGGAGUGAGAAACACAAUGAGGCAUUCGAGAAGCUAAAGAAGAAGUUAUGUGAAGUAUCGAUACUUUCUCUACUCGAUGGAGUUGAAGACUUCGCGGUAUAUAGUGACGCAUCUGGAGUCGGGUUGGGUUGUAUUCUAACCCAGAGAGAAAAGGUGAUAGCAUAUGCAUCUCGACAAUUGAAAGAGCACAAAAAGAACUACCCCACUCACGAUUUAGAGUUGGCAUCGGUAGUUUUCGCUUUAAAGAUAUGGAGGCAUUACCUCUACGGCACGAAGUGCAAGCUUUUCACUGAUCAUAAGAGUCUUCAGUAUCUCUUUAAUCAAAAAGAAUUGAACAUGAGGCAACGACGCUGGCUAGAGUUACUUAAGGACUACGACUGUGAGAUACUUUACCACCCCGGUAAAACAAAUGUUGUCGCUGAUGCUCUCAGUCGGAAAGUCUACCUUGAAAGGAAAAGUCCAAGAGCGUUGAGAAUUGAAGUCGUCUCGACGAUUGUGGAAAGUAUCAAGAAAGCCCAAGAGGAAGCUUUAGAGAAGAAUGACCGAAGAGAAGAACGUUUGGGCAAAACGUUAGUGUUCGGUACAAACAGUCAAGGAUUGAAGGUAUUCCAAGAUCGGAUUUGGGUACCUAAGACGGGAAGAAUAAGAGAUCUUAUGAUGGAAGAAGCACACAAUACCAUGUACUCAAUUCAUCCCGAUAGCACUAAAAUGUAUAGGGACUUAAAACCCUACUACUGGUGGCCGACGAUGAAGCUCGAUGUUGCGAAGUAUGUGGCCGAGUGUGUAACAUGUGCGAGAGUUAAGGCACAACAUCAGAAAUCGUAUGGGAGUUUGGAACCUGUGCCUAUACCCAUGGGUAAAUGGGAAGACAUCACCAUAGAUUUUGUGACCAAACUGCCUAGAACAAAGAGCGGUCACGACAUGAUUUGGGUGGUCGUGGAUCGUUUCACCAAGAGUGCACACUUCAUAGCAGCCAACGAGAAGUGGUCUAUGGAUAAGCUCACAAAUGCUUACGUUAAGGAAAAUUGUAAGACUUCAUGGUGUUCCUCUUAUAAUUGUAUCAGAUCAUGAUAGUCGUUUCACGUUGAGGUUUUGGAGGAGUCUACAAGAGGAGUUGGGUACAUAGUUGUAUUUGAGUACUGCUUACCAUCCGCAAACUGAUGGUCAGAACGAAAGAACGAUUCAGACACUAGAAGAUAUGCUGAGAGCAUGUACCCUCGAAUUCCAAGGGAAUUGGGACGAGCACUUUCCUUUGGUAGAAUUCUCCUACAACAACAGUUUCCACUCGAGCAUCAAGAUGGCACCUUAUCAAGCCUUGUACAGAUAGAAGUGUCGUAGACCGUCUUUUUGGCUUGAAGCCGGAGAGAAACAGUUUAUGGGCCCCGAGAUAGUCCAUGAAACUGCUGAGAAACUAAAGGUGAUUAGGGAAAGGAUGUUAGCAGCUCAGGAUCGUCAGAAGAGCUAUGCUGACAAGAAAAGACGAUCGAUGACCUUCGAAGUUGGGGAUUCGGUUUUGCUUAAAGUCUCACCGUGGAAGGGACUUAUAUGAUUCGGGAAACGAGGGAAGUUGAGUCCAAGGUUUAUUGGGCCGUUCAAAGUUCUUCAGAUGAUUGGUAACCAAGCUUACAAGCUGGAAUUGCCCGAAGAACUCGAUGGUAUACAUAACACCUUCCAUGUGUGUUAUUUGAGGAAAUUCAUGCGAUAAGUUCCCGACAUAAUUCCAAUCUCAGAGUUAAGGAUGGAUGCGAAUAAAAGGCUGAUCGAAGAGCCUAGGGCAAUUGUUGACCGUAAGACUAAGAAGUUACGACGCAAGAUGGUCGACUUAGUGCUAGUCCGAUGGAAACAUUCGAAUGGGUCGAAUCUCACUUGGGAAACAGAGGAUGACAUGAUGAGUUUCUAUCCACAUCUGUUUGCUGAUGCAUGAUUCCGGGACGGAAUCAUCCUAAGGGGGAGAGAAUUGUAACACCCGGGUUUCAGGGCUAAUCAUUUUUGACAAUGUAAUAGUCUAGGUCAACUCUUGUAACUCUUUUUGAAGUAAUAAAGAUGAAAUAUUUGAGUAUUAUGUGAAUUAUGUGUAUUUAUGUGCUUAUUGUUUAAUUAUAAAUGUAUAAUUAAUAAAGAAUAAAAAUAAGCAUCAAAAUUAAAGUGUAAGAUAAGCCCGAUAUCUUUAUAAAAAGUUGUAGUGGUCGAAACAAGGAUUCCGGGGAUAUAAAGAACGCCGAAAUCCGAGUUAUAACGAAAAAGUUAUGACCCGUUGAAUUUACGAUAGAAGGAGAUUUAGCCUUAGCGAAUUUAAACGAAAGUUGUAGAAUAUGUUAAACUAAGAGCGUCGAUAAAAAGAACACCCAAAUCUGACUUCGUAUGAGGAAGUUAUGAUUUUUCGAAGUUUCAGAUUAGUAGUGUACAACCCGAAAUUCGAAUGUUAGAUCGAGCGGUUUUUAGUCGACAUGACCUGAACGAGAAUCGUAGAUCUCGUUAAGCGUAGCGUAACGAGAAAAAGAUGGGCAAAAACAGAUGUCGGAUGAAGAAGUUAUGAGAAUUUAAUGGACCAAUCCUGUCCCGGCCUGUUAAUAAUAUAACUUUUAAAAUGGAGCCAAAAUUAGCCGACAGAGUCUAAACGAAAGUUGUAGAGUACGUUCCCACCUUCGCGUGGAUAUAAAGAAUGUCGAAAACGGAGCUCGUACGCGAAAUUUACGAAUUUUUAAAGUUGAAGCAUGAAAUUACGAAGCCUGUUGCAAAUCUGAUGACGUGGCGCGAUCUACUCCAUCCAUCGCUGAUCUAGCCUCGCAUCCGAUGAUCGCCACGUCGCCCUCGCAUACGCCCCGCAUCAGAAGUCGGUACACCCCGCAUACCCUCGCCCUUAUCCGUCCGAGACCGAGUGCAAGCCAGCUGGAUCCUCCCGGCAAGCUUAUGCGAACUACGCCUCGCAUAGUGUUGUUGUACGCCCAUCGUACGACCGAGGGCUUGCACCUAUAAAUAGGCUGCGAGAGCUGCCGAAGAAAAACACACAAAAACCCUUCUCUCUCUAAAAUCUUUCUCUCUCUAAGGUUCCAAACCACCCCUAAACCCUAGGAAAAAUCCCUUAGCUCCCGAGGGAAGCCCCAAGGCUCCCAGAGUCCCGAGAAAAAGUGUCUUUCGGUUUCGAAACGCUGCUCCAUAUAAAUCCCGAUUUUCUUUAAAAUCCGUUGUAAGUGAGCUACGCUUACGCAACUUUUAAUAUAGCUUUCAAAUAAUUAUAGUAAUGUUAUUAGGUCCUUAAAAUAAUUAUUUGGGCUAUUAUUAUGAGUUAUAUUGAGUGUUAUUUAACGCUUAUAUAAUAAUAAUAAUAGUCAGACUAUUAAUUUGUCGCGAUUNGUUAAACUAAACCCUAGUGGUAUCGAUACUAGGUUUUAUCGAAGGAAUAUCGUUUUGAGAGUAUCGAAGCGCUGUCCGAGUGCUGAGUCACCACCUUUUCAGGUGAGUGCAUAGUUACUUUCAGCUUACACAUAGAUAUGAAGUAUUUUAUAUAAAUUACGUGCUAUGUGUGCAUAUUAUCUGAAUACUUGCUAUCUAUGCUGGAUGAACGUUUUAUACAUGUUUUAAAUGAUUUAAACUGUAUAUGUAUUUUAUACCUACGAAAAUGUUGGGAAAAAACAUGGGUAGAUGUAUUAGUUGCUGUGUGAUAAAAUGAAAUAAUGAGAGGCCUCGUUAUAGAUGUUAUUGAUGAUCCAGUCAUGUAGCGGAGUAUAGAUGACGACCACAGUCUAUUCUAGACAGUCCAGUGGAACACUAGCAUGCUCGCAACCUGUUGGUGUUUAUUUGAACUAUGUGUUUAUUUGAACUGUGUGCUCACCAGGUGUAAUCCAUCCCCCACAUGGCUGCCUUAAGGACAUUUAUUGCUGAGGAAUCCCCUUAGCAGUAGUGUCCGUCCCGAUGAUGAUCCUUAGGCUAGGUCCCUUAUGAUAGGUGUUUAGGGACGUAAAGUGAGGAUAACGGGAACGGGUAAUCGGGUUAUUGUUGAUUGAUGAAAUUAAUAAACUUAUUUAUUGUGGGUUGAAAACCCUAUGUGCUCACCAGGCUCCCAAGCCUGACCCACUCAGUUUUAUGUAUUACAGGUAGUGGCGCAUGAGCAUAGGUGUGAUGUUUUGGACGAGGGAUUACGGAUAUAGGCCUGUAGAUAUGAAAUAAUGUAGUAAGGCUUAUAUUGUACUGUUUAUGCUUUUGAUCUGUACGAACAUGACAUCCCAAUCCUUUUAAUGAAAUACAUUUCUAUGGAAAUGCUUUUGAUAAAUCUUUAUCAUAUUUUGUUUUGGGACAAAUUCCGCAACACUUUUAUUUAAAAUGUUACUCUGAUUUUUAAACAAAGCAUAAACAAAAUCGGUCUUUUGUGGCCGUGAAAAUGGGGAUGUCACAUUAUGAUCUUAAUGACCUAUCAUAUGAACAAGGAGGAGGUCACACUCAGCAAGCUUCAAGUAAUUUUGAAGACCGCUAAAAGUGGUCUCAAAAGUAAAUCAGUUGUUACUACUCCUCCUCCUAACACCGCCCUGUUCUAGAAGACGGGCAAGGUAGAGGGAAAAAGAGGAAGACCCCUUCGAAGGGUACCAAGGGAAAUUCUCUUGGUGGCUCCUCUUCGAGUGGAACCAAAGGUGGUUCUGUCACUCCUUCUUCCAACCCAAAAGAAGCUGAAUGCUUCUAUUGUCAUGAUAAGGGGCACUGGAAACGAAACUGCCCCAAGUACCUGCAAGAUGUUAAGGAUGGGAAGAUUAAACCUACCUAUGCAGGUAUUUACACUAUAUUGUCUAAUAACUCACCGCAUACUAAUUCUUAGGUCCUCAAUAUAGGUUGUGGUAUUCAUAUAUGUUCUGAUUUGCAGGGCCUAAGAAGAAGUGAGGAUGUGGAGCACGGAAAGAUAAACUUGAUCAUGGGGAAUAGGAAAGCUUCACCAGUCACCAAGAUUGAAGUUUAUUCUUUAUUGCUGAGUAGUGGGUUAAUAUUAGAUUUGAAUAACUGUUGUUACUCGUCUGAAAUGGCGAGAAAUAUUAUUUCUUUUCACGGUUUGUACAAACAAGGAUAUACUUUUUUCAUUUGAUAAUGAAUGUGGUGGUAAUAAUGUUUUUUAUAAUAAUGUUCUUUAUUUUAAAGCAUUACCUUGUGAUGGUGUAUAUGAAAGUGUGUCGGCUGUAGAAAACCUAGGAAACAAUGUGUUGCAUAUUGAUUCUUCCACUAGUUUGGACAAAGCAUCCUUGUGGCAUUGUCGUCUUGGACAUGUUAAUAAGAAGUGCAUAGGCCAACUCCAAAAGGUUGGAGUCUUGGAAUCAUUUGACUUAAAGUCGGAUGAUAGUUGUGAGUCUUGUUUUCUUGGAAAAACGACAAAGUCACCCUUCACUGGUACUUGUGCUAAGGGUGAAGGUUUGUUAGACCUCAUACACACAAAUAUGUGUGGACCCUUCAGAACAGCCGCAAGGUAUGCUAGCCGCUUCUAUGUGACUUUUACUGAUGAUUACAGUGGAUAUGGUUUUGUCUACUUAAUCAAGCAUAAGUCAGAAACCUUCAAAAAGUUCAAGGAGUUUAAACAAGAAGUGGAGAAUCAGUUGGGAAGGAACAUUAAUAUGCUUCGAUCCGAUCGAGGUGGAGAGUAUCUUGGUACAUAUUUCAUUGACUAUCUUAAGGAAUGUGAAAUUGUUUCACAAUCGAUACCUCCUAGAACACCAUAGCUUAAUGGUGUGGUUGAGAGGCAAAAUCGAACCUUAUUGGAUAUGGUUCGUUCCAUGAUGAGUUGAGCUUCGUUACCAGUCUCAUUUUAGGGGUAUGCCUUAGAGACUGCCACCCAUAUCCUUAAUCUAGUCCCUAACAAGAAGGUUGCCAAAACACCUCACGAGAUGUGGAAUGGGAAAUUUCCCACUUUAGACCACAUCAAGAUUUGGGGUUGCGAGGCUUUCGUGAGACGUGAGACUCACGACAAGCUCAAACCUCAUAGCGAGCAGUGUAUAUUCAUCGGCUACCCACAAAAAUCUUUUGGUUACCUCUUCUACAGACCCAAUGAGAAUGUGGUCAUUGUGGAAAGGAGAGGGGUCUUUCGCAAGAUAGAAUUCAUAAGCCAAAGAAAUAGUGGGAGGCAAAUUAACCUUGAAGAGCUUCAAGAGUCAAGUGGUGAAGGAACCACAAACCCUAGCAAUCAACUUGAGGAGGAAACUCCUGUUGAGCCAACUGACGAACCUGUACCUCUGAGGCAUUCCACUAGAGUUAGGAAUCCACCGAAGCAUUACUAUGGUUUCCAUAUUACUUCGAAACGUGAUACAUUUAUCAGUGAUAGUACACUGGUAAAUUUGGAUGAACCUAACAGCUAUAGGGAAGUCAUGGUAGGCCCUGAGUCAGCUAAAUGGAAAGAGGCUAUGGACAGUGAGAUUCAGUCCAUGUAUGACAAUAAUGUUUGGAACUUGGUUGACAAUGUACCAGGUCGUAAGACGGUCGGGUGAAAAUGGAUCUUCAAGAAGAAGACCGACAUGGAUGGGAAAGUGCACACUUAUAAGGCGCGAUUGGUUGUGAAGGGCUUCACUCAAACUCAACGAGUUGACUAUUAUGAAACCUUCUUACCAGUAGCGAAGAUUAAGUCUAUUAGGGUUAUGCUAGCCAUUGCUGGAUUUCAUGAUUAUGAAAUAUGGCAAAUGGAUUUCAAAACCGCUUUCCUUAAUGGAAAGUUGGCUAAAGAUGUUUACAUGAGUCAGCCAGAGGGUUUUGUCAAUGCAGAGUACCCUGAUAGAGUGUGCAAGCUUGAGAAAUCUAUUUAUGGAUUGAAACAUGCAUCUCGCAACUGGAAUCUUUGUUUUAAUGAGAAAGUCAAAGAGUUUGGUUUUUCGAGAACCGAAGAUGAGUCAUGUGUAUAUGUUAGAGCUAGUGGGAGUAUAGUUAGCUUUUUGGUACUGUAUGUGGAUGACAUACUACUCAUAGGAAAUAACAUCCCAACUUUGCAGGAGAUUAAAUCCUGGCUUGGGAAGUGUUUCGCUAUGAAGGACCUUGGAGAAGCUACCUAUAUCCUAGGUAUAAGGAUAUUGAGAGAUAGGAGUAAAAUACUAAUUGGAAUUAGUCAGAGUCCCUACUUGGACAACGUGUUGAAGAGGUUUAACAUGCAGAAUUCCAAGAAAGGCGAUUUACCGAUCCAGAGCAAUGCCAAACUAAGUAAGGCUUAGAGCCCGCGUACAGAGGCUGAGAUAGCUGAGAUGAUCGAUUACCAUAUGCUUCCACUGUUGGCUUGAUCAUGCAUGCUAUGACUUGUACCCGCCCUAAUCUGGCCUUUGCUUUGAUCAUGGUAAGCAAAUAUCAGGGGAGCCCUUGCAAGGCUCACUAGACUGCGGUAAAGAACAUUCUUAAGUACAUGCGAAGGACUAAGGAUUGGAUUCUUACCCAUGGUAGGAGUGAUGACUUGAGAGUAGUAGGGUAUAGCAAUGCCAACUCUCAGACCGACGGGGAUAACUUCCACUCUCAGUCAGGCUGGGUGUUUACCCUGAAUGGAGGAGCUAUUACGUGGAAAAGUUCCAAGCAGGAGAUCAUGGCAGAUCCAGACAGAGAUAACUUUCAGACCGACAUCAAUGUUUCAGUUACCUUAGCCAAGGAACCGAGAGAUCAUGGCAAAUCCAGACACAUUGACAGAAAAAUAUCACUUCAUAAUACACAAGAUAGAAGAAGGACUCCUCGUGACAAACAGGGUAUCGUCAAAAGAUAACCAAACAUAUCCCCUCACGAAGGGACUCACUAAGGUUAGGCAUUUGCAACAUGCGAGGCGCAUCGUUCUGAAGGACGAUAUUAGUUUUACAGAUUAGAUAGCUAUCUCUGAAACUUGUAAAAUGUAAUUGAAAUUUGAUGAUUAAAUAAAAGUUGUUGUUUAUUUAUAAGUAAGGUGUUGCUAUUUUGUGUCAAUCGCUUACUAUUGUUAAAACUUUGCAUGUUUUGACUUCCAGAAUAAUUACUUUAUUCAAACUCUCCACAGUCGGUCAUAUGUUGGAAGUAGGUAUGAAUCAAUAAUGUCAUGAAUUAUGCUUGUAGAUGUCUAAGGUGUUAGUAGCAAAAGUUGCUACAACAUUCAUGAGUGCUCAUAAGUUCUGAGUAUUGGAUUAAACCCACACUCACUUGUAUCACUUCAUGUAAUUUAUCUCGAGUGAUCGUGAGACGGUAAUAUCAUAUAAGUCUUCAAACCUAGAGAUAUGACUUGUUGACUAUGAUUUGGUUGUGCAUUGAUUGCACGAAAACACAUCAGUAACUUGAUGUUAUAAAACGUGCCUUUGUAUAUCAUUCAACAAGUAGUAGUGACAAGCAUAUGAGUCGAAGUUUAUCUGUUCCUUUUAAUCAUUGGAGGAUUAGAAGCGAUAUCUGGACCCCUCGAUGAUUUUGUUUUGAUCUAUGUUUCGGCCCAGUCAUAACCAAAUUCAUGUGUUCCGUUUAGUUCUAUGUCAAACAAAUCAGAAAUCGGGAAACAAACUGAUGGACAAUAAGUACGACGUUGUUCCAUGUAUUUGUCCGGCUGAUAUCUUGAGAACAGAGGAUUAUAUGAUCACUUAUCUAAAAUGGCACUUCAUAGUUCAACAGAGUUUUAAGAGCUACGAUUGCUAGUCGGUUCUUGAAGUCAUACUUGCAACUAUAGUUAUCAGACUUAUCCAAGUGGGAGACUGUUGGAUAAGGUGUCUAAGUCUGUAACUAUAUUUGGUAUGUACUAGACCCGACCCAACUGUUGGAUUAAUGUCUAAGUCCAUAACUAUAUUUGUUAUGUACUUGACCCGACCCGGCAUGGUCCAUUUGGGUUGCACUUCACCGACACAAUUUAUAUGGAUAAUCUUUUGAGAAUAGUAUGUUUAUGAUUAAUAUUAAUAUAUUAUAAGUUCUAAUAUAUUAAUAUGGAAUCAUAUUAUUUAAUUAGUAUUGAUCAAGAAUUAAUUUAUAAUUAAUUAAGUGAUCAAAAGGAACUAAUUAAAUAUGGACUCUUAUAUAUAUGGAAUGGGCCAAGUUCAUUUAGGUUGGGCUAAGCUUUCAUGGAUAGUCCAUGGAGUGUUUAACCCAUGGAUCCUAGGAAAUGAAAGGUCAUGGGUAUUAGGGUUUAACCCUAAUCCUCCAUACUAUAUAAAGAUGUCUUUGGUUGGUGAAAUUGGCACUAGUGUGGAUACACUAAAGAAGGGCUAGCCAAUUUCACUAGAGAGAACCAAGUAAUCAUAUUCUCUAAAGUAUUCCAAGGUGUCUUGGUGAUUUGUGAUUCCACUUGAGGCUUCCACACUAUUGGGGCUAAGCUCUUAAAGCUUGAAGACAUCAAGCUACAUCAAGAGGUAUGUAUUCUAUCUUGUUACAUUCAUAGUUNUAAGAACUUCAUAAUAUGCUAGUUAGGAUUAAAGCCUUGGAAAGUUCUUAUUUGCAUGUAUUAUAGAGAAAACAUAGAUCCAAGGUUUAUAGGGUUGCAUGUACACCAUAGGAGUGUUAGAAUGCUCAAAACCCAACACCAGCAUGGUCCAUUUGGGUUGCAUUUCACCGAAACAAUUUCUAUUGAUAAUCUUUUAAGAAUAGUAUGUUUAUGAUUUAUUAAUAUAUUAAUAUGAAAUCAUAUUAUUUAAUUAGUAUUGAUCAAGAAUUAAUUUANNNNNNNNNNNNNNNNNNNNNNNNNNNNNNNNNNNNNNNNNNNNNNNNNNNNNNNNNNNNNNNNNNNNNNNNNNNNNNNNNAUAUAUAUAUAUAGAAUGGACCAAAGUUCAUUUAGGAUAGGCUAAGCUUGCAUGGAUAGUCCAUGGAGGUUUUAACCCAUGGAUCCUAUGGAAAUGAAAGGUCAUGGGUAUUAGGGUUUACAUGGAUGUAACCCUAAUCCACCAUACUAUAUAAAGAGGUGUUUGGCACAUGAAAUGGCACUACUAUGUGUGAUAGAGAAGGUGGGCCAAUUUCUAUUUUGCAUUACUAUUCUCUUAAAGUCUUCCGAGUUGUUUUGGUGAUUUGUGAUUCCACUUGAGGCAUCCACAUUAUUGGUGUUAGGGUCUUGAAGCUCCACGCAAUCAACCACAAGAAAAGGUAAGUCAUUCUACUAGUUUUUAUAUUACAAGUACCCCAUGAUAUGCUAGCUAGGUUGAGAACCUUGGAUAAAUCAAAUUUGCAUGUAUAAUAGAGAAAACAUAGAUCCACGGUUUCUAGGGUUGCAUGUACACUAUAUGAGUGUUAGAAUGCUCAAAACCCUUCAGAAGGUUUGAUCGUUAACUCAGAUGAUGAAUCCAUUGCUUUUUACUCCAACAGCAAAGUAAAGAAAUUUUAUAAAAAGCCAUUUGGUUCAAAAGUAAGGACUGGAGAGGCAAAAGUAAGUUUUGCUGGAAAAGUGAAUCAGGAGAAGAAGUUCGAGAAGAAAGAAUCAAAGACUAAAUAUUCGAAAGUUGAAAAGAAGCUCAAAGGUGACUCAGGUGUCGAUUGUCACUAUUUUCAUGGGGCAAAUCAUAUGGCAAGUGAUUGUACGCUUCAAAAGAAAGAGGAGAAGAAGAGUAAGAUUAAAGAUGAAGUGUAUUAUGUCGAACGUUUGGAAGAAGUGAAAGCAAAGGCAAAAGGUUUGUCUCUGGUGGCGAAAGGAGAAUGUGAGGAUGAAGGAACGUAUCAAAUUUGGUCUUCCGGUUCCGAUGACGAAGAGAUGCGUAAUCCUACGCAUGGGGCAAUGUAUGAUAAGUUUGAGGAAGAUGAGGAAGAAGAGGAGAUUGUUCAUUGUUUUAUGACUAAGAAUGGAGACAAAUCACCUAUGAAAACGAAGGUACGUUCUAUUCUUCAAUCUUUCAAUAUUCCUUUAUGUGCUUAUGAUUAUGAAUUAAUUGCUUUUGAUGAUACUAUUGCUUAUUUUGAUAAUUUGGUUAUCUCUACUAGUAAUGAGGCUAAGAAAUCUAGUACUCAGUUACUAGAAGUUCAUAAGCAGUUGGAUUCGAAGAAAACAAAAGUAGGAUAUCUUGAGUUGCAAAUUACUAAUCUCAUGUGUGAUAGGGACAAUUUGAAUAAUGAAGUUCGCAUGUUAUUAGCACAAAGAAACAUAUAUUGUAACUCCGCUAAGAGACUUUAUGCAAAAUUAACUGCUUUGCAUCACUCUUCUGAUAUAAGCAAAGAGCAACAUAGGAAGUUAUUACCAUUCUUAGCUUAUGAAAGAGAAAAGAUUGAUUGUGUGUCUUAUGAUUGCGAAAAGACAAUAGCUGAGUUUGGUAAAGUGUCUGGUAAUAGAUUUGCUUAUGGAAUUGUGAAAAUAGAUAAAUUUUUGGAUGCUAAUGAAUUAGUUGACAUUGUGAAUGAAACCUUAACCAAGAAUGAACAAAUAAAUAUUUUGAAAAGGACUAAGACUUCGAAAUUUGACUCUCAAUCUAAUUUUGUUGAUCUCGAAGAUAAUUCUGAUACUAUCAGUGAAAUCACAUAAAUUGAGGAAGAUGAAGAAAUUGAUUGCUCUCGGUUGCCAGUCAUUAAUGUCACUUCAAAGGUUAACGGCAAAGAAAAAUAAAAUUAUUCAUUGGACAAGACUAACGUUGACCAACCCUCAACUUCGAAAGUUUGUGAUGAUGAAUAUGUAAGUGUCAGAGAUAGUCAAACCGACAGCAUUGAUGAUGAGGAGGAUAAUGACGAAAUUUCGAAAUAAUUAACCCCAACAAAAGAUGUUUCAAAAGAAAAUGAAAUAUCAAGAGUUGUUGUAGAUAAGGUGUAUGGUGAAAUAGAAAAUUUCAACAAAAUGAUAAAAGAAAAAGGUGCCCAUUACCUUGAAACACAUUCAGUUGUGUAUCCAAAUUUCAAGUGUACCGAUGAUGUUAUCUUUCCAAAUCAAGUGUUUGUGACAACUGGGAAAUUUGAUCAGAUCAAACCUGAGUUUAACAAAAUGCUAGAAGAAGAUAAUAAGAAAACAUCGAAUGAAGGUUUCUUUUCCAAUCAAAGCAUUGUCGAAAACAAUCUUACCAAGAAUUCCUACACAUUUCAAAGACAAAAACCACAAAGAAAAUGGGUUGAAAAAACAUAAACUUCAAAGAAACUAGUUGAUGUUGAAAUUGUGAUUUCAAAUGUUAAAAUAAAUUCACAAGAGUUUAAAGACAAAAUUGACGAGUUCUCCAAAGAACAUGGGAUUUCAAAAAGACAAGCGCGAAAGAAUUUUUUUUUGCAAAAUGUUGAGUCUCGAAAGAAACAAAAUAAUUUGACAAAGAAAACAACUGAAAGAACAAUGUAUGAAAAGGUUAAGACAAAAUUUUCGUCAAAUUCAAGUAACAAGAAGAAUCCUGUUUUGUCUAAAAAGAAUGUAUCUUAAUCAACAUCACAAAAUGAUUUUUCGAUAAUAAAAAAUAACGAAACAAAGUUUUUGUCACAAAAUCAUAAUCAAAAACUGAAAGAAAAGGAAUUUUCAAAAUUUCAAUAAUUCAAGAAGUUUCAAUUUUCUAAUCAAACAAGAAAUCAAAGGGUUUUCAAUGGGGGGUUUUCAAAGUCAACUCAAUCUCAAAAUAACUCAACAUCUUAUCAAUUUCGAAAUCACACACAACAAGGUUUUGUACCAAAUAAUGAAAAUAAAAAGAUUGCACAAUUACACACAAAAUGGAAUGCUAAAUAUAAACCUCAGCAACCGAAUUUUCCUAAUCCUCUUGCCAAAAACGCCUUUAAAGUCUCAUAUACCAAGGGUCGGUCCAAUGUGAAAAACUACGAUCAUUGGUUUGAAGGGAAAGGAAAAUCUUAUCAAACAGGAAAAUUCUCUCAACAACAAAUCAAAAAUGUUUAUGAGAAGUAUUUCAAUGAAAUGUCUAAUGUUAGUUCAUCGUCAAAAGAUUCGACAUCUUCAGUCCAAGCAUGGUGUCCAGUUUCGAAAGAAAAGACUACAAGGCCACAAACUGAGAAGCAAAAGGUGAAAGUCAAUGAAAGUCCUAAACUUUCGAAAUGUUAUAUUUUUGAGCCUUUAUCAAGUGAAGUGGACUAAAUCAAUAGUGUCAAAUCUAAAGUUCGUAAUUGGAUAUUAGGUUCUUCAUUUCAUAAUGUGUUUCAAACUAAUCAUAAAGACCCAAACAACCUUGGGUACCUAAUUUUUUUUCACUAAUUGCAGGUUUUGUGUGACGAGCAAUAUGAUGAAAAAUGGUAUAUCGAUAAUGGUUGCUCUCGUCACAUGACAGGAAGGAAAGAAAAUUUACGCGAUUUUCGAAGAUUGAAGAAUGCAGGAGUUGUAAAGUUUGGCAACAAUCAAAAAUGUCAAGUUAAAGGAUAUGGUAAAGUAACAAAUGGGAAAUUCACUGUCAAUCGUGUUGCUGAUGUCGAAGGUCUUCAACAUAACUUGAUAAGUGUUUCACAACUUGUAGUGGGCACUAGUGAUCAAGUGGUGUUCAAUGAAGAAGGAAGUAUAAUUUCGAAUGUCAACACUAACGAAGUUUUGCUUAAAUCAAAACGAUAUGGAGAUAUGUUCAUUCUCGACAUUAAACCCAUUGUUGGAAUACCCUUGGUGUGCUUACUUUCGAAAGCUUCUUCAGAUGUUAGCUGGCUUUGGCAUUGACGUCUUUCACACUUGAACUUUCGAAAUCUAAAUAAAUUGGUGGUAAAUGAUCUUGUGAUAAUGGUUUUGGAGUUUAUCAAGAAAAUCGAAAGAAUUUUGAAGAAGAAAGUUCGAAAAAUCAAGAGUGAUAAUCGUUUGGAGUUUAAGAACAAUGUUCUUGAUUCAUUUUUAACUGACAAAGGAAUUUCGCACAAUUUUUCUUCACCUUACACACCUCAUAAAAAUGGUGUUGUUGAAAGGCGAAAUUGGACUCUUUGUGAAGCAAAUAGAACGAUGCUUACAUAUGUGAAUCUUCCUCAAUACCUGUAGGCUGAAGCAGUUUCUACUGCAUGUUUUACACAGAACCGCUCCUUUAUUCAUCGAAGAUUCAAUAUUACUCCGUAUGAAAUUAUCAAUAAUCAAAAACCUAAUGUCAAAUUCUUUCAUGUUUUUGGCUGUAGGUGUUUUAUUAUGAAUUUCAAGGAUAAUCUUUCGAAAUUUCAGUCCAAAGCUGAUGAAGGCAUUUUCUUGGGAUAUUCUCAUAAUUCAGUUGCCUAUCGAGUAUUGAAUAGACGAACACGAAAAAUUGAAGAGACAUUCAAUUUAACUUUCGAUGAUUAUUAUAUCAAACCUGUUGAAAAAUGUUUCGAAUAACAACCAAUUUUUAAUGAAUCAAAAGAUGAAUCUGAAAGUGUUAAUUCGUUUGAAAGGAGUAUGAUGGGAAAAAUAAACAACUUUCUGGGAUUGAAUAUUCGUCAAAGCAGAGAAGGAAUUUUUCUAAAUCAAGAAAAAUACCCAAAGAAUCUGCUUGAGAAAUUUGGAAUGACGAAUAGCAUGAAGUUACGAGUACCAAUGGCGGUUGGAACAAGGCUCGAUCCUUCAUUAGAUAAACCUGCUCUUGAUAUUACAUUAUAUAGAAGCAUGAUAGGUUUCUUACUUUACCUUACGGAAAGUCGACCUGAUAUUAUGUUUUCUGUUUGUAAUUGUGCUAGGUAUCAAUCGAAUCCCAGAGAACCACACUUGACUGCAAUGAAAAAUAUUUUUCGAUAUCUCAAAGGAACAAUUUCGUUAGGAUUGUGGUAUCCAUCAAAAAAGGCUUCUUCAUACAAGCUUUUUCGGAUGCUGAUAUGGGAGGUUGCAGUCUUGAUCAUAAAAGUACAACUUGUGGAUGUCAAUUUUUAGAUGGGAAGCUCGUAAGGUGGCAGUCGAAGAAACAAACAUGUGUUUCAAUUUCCACAAUAGAAGCAGAAUAUAUUGCUGCUGCAGCUUGCACUUCACAAAUAAUUUGGAUUCAAAGUCAAUUACAAGAUUAUGCAAUAAACAUGAAGAAGAUUCCAUUAUAUUGUGAUUCACAAAGUGCUAUACGCAUUUGUCACAAUCCAGUACAACAUUCGAAAACAAAUCAUAUUCCAAUUCGUUAUCAUUUUAUCAAAAAUCAUGUGGAAGAUGGAAAUAUCGAAGUUCACUUUGUAAAAACAACUGAUCAGCUUGCUAAUAUUUUUACAAAGUCUUUAGAUGAAAAUUAUUUUGUUAGAAUACUAAAUGGACUGGGAUUGAUCGAAGCUAAUUUUGUGCCAGGUCUUAUUUCGAAAGAAUAACAAGAGGAAAAGGUGAAAAAGUGUCGAUUCAGAGGUGUUGAGUGUUCAUUCAGAGGUCAUAGCUUGCCAUUCAGAGGUUAAUGUUCAUGUUCAGCGCUUCGACACGCUUCGAUUUCGACAUUGAGUACAAAUAGCUUAAUCAUAUAAUUGCAUUAUUUUAGUACAAAACUAUUUUGUCUUUCAAUUUUCAAAAAAUCAAAAAGAACAAAAAGAUUUUAUUUUUGUUUCGUCUUUUAGUUUUCGAAAAAUCAAAAAGAACAAAAAGAUUUUAUUUUUGUUUCAUCUUUUAAUUUUCGAAAAAUCAAAAAGAACAAAAAGAUUUUAUUUUUGUUUCGUCUUUCAGUUUUCGAAAAAUCAAAAACUACAAAAAGAUUUUAUUAUUUUUGGUGUUUGUACUUUAUUUUCUUAUUGCAGCUUUUGGCAAAGAUCAUCAAUGGUUCAUGCUUGCAGUUCUAGGGUCAGGUAUAUUUUUCGAAAAACUUUGCACUAGUUAGGUUGUCCCUAGAAGCAUGUUGCAGCAUGUUGACCUAAGCCUCCUUUGACUCAAUGUGUGUUUUCAAAGCCUUAAUGAAGUUUUCAUCAUGAAAAUUUCUUCCCAAUCAGGCUAUCUUCACAUUAGUCCUUGAGCUAUCUUACUCUUCUCAUUGGAGUUAAGAGUUUACUGCUUGGUCAAUACAUAGCAGAGGUACUUACGAAUCUUUUACCAAAUCUUUUUCAUCCUAAAGUUCUUACACUUUCACACACAAUGACAUAUGUCCAAGAGAUUUCUGGUAUAAACCAAUCAGGAUCUAGACAUAUCAAAAAUAUGUGUUUAUGAUCUAACAUCAUGAGACCGUGAUGAAAGUGAAACCCUAAAUGUCGAAACAAAUUAAGGAAUUGACAGGGAACUUUGUUCCAGACUUCACGAAACUUUUGUUUCAGUACCUGAUUUCGAUACUCAAAAUCAUAUUCUUUAUUUGUUGUAAUCUUGAUCAAAUGUUCAAACCCAUGAGAUUUGUUACCCAACAAGAUUGAAAAUUGCUUUUGGUUCGAGAAUAUGAUUUAUGUCUGAGUAUCAUUCACAAAUUCAUUACUUCAUAAAUUUCUCAAAGCUUACUUAUCACUGACUACACUGCUCAAACAUGUAGUUUCGUUUACAACUUGUCAUACUUAUGUUGAAUAUGCAUUGUAUCGGAAUUUUGAACCACCUUUAAAGCCAUAAUAAAAGAAGCCCUUCGAUACUUAUCAUCAAGUAUUCGAUUGUAAUUCACGGGAAGCCACAUAAGCAGUUGAUCAUCUCUCUUGAUGAUUAACAAAGUAAUCUUAGCCCGGGGUUUAUCUGCUUUCAUGUCGAAAUUUUAUUUUCACCAUCACAGAUCCAAAUUUUUUUUUAUAUUGUUUCUUAUCUUUUUCAUCGGCACACAACACUCACUAAAUCCUUGAGGUUUUGAGUAUUACCAACUCAGGCUGAGGAUUUCAAAAGUAUGGCAUAUGACUUCGUUUUCAAAACCCAAAAACAAAAGAGCCCAACCUCCAUUCCAAAGAUUUGGUCCUUAUCCACAAGUACUCACGAAAGGACGUAUGAGGUGAUUGUUUAGUAACUGUUCAUGUUUAUCGGAUAUCGUGACCUACACUUUAUCUGACAUGAUGUCUUUAACGGCUAGUGGUGCAACUUUCAAGGGCCACGUGUACACGACAUUUAUGGACUAUGGUAACCAUUUGAGAUUCACAUUUGGGAUACAUAUAAAAAGGGAAAUUGGGUCUUCAUUCCAAUUUUUACGCGUACUAAAAAUUCUCAAGGCAACUAAGAGCUAUCAUUCCUCUUUGUUCUUUACGUUUUCAAGAAAAACCAUAGUUAUGGCUGCUCCUCAAUCCAACACUACUGAGGAUAUCUCUUCUCAACCCAUUGUGAAGAUUCAGAGUACCAAUUAUCAAGUGGAUGGUGAUGUUACUGUGUACCCCGAAGAACUCAAGAUGCUCAUUGUUGCUUUACAACAUUCAAUUUUAUUGACUGCAAUGUUCAGUUCUUUUGAUGUUCCCAUUUCAUGGCUUUCAAUUGUUGGGUCUACUGCCUCAUACAACAAGACGAUGGAUAUUGUGACCUUCAAUUUGAUCACUGAUAAGAAGUUUCAUCUUACCAAGAAGUUGUUUGCCAAAAUCCUUGAAAUCCCUCAUUCUCCACCAUUAAUCUACAAAGUUACUAAUGAACACGUGUUACACAUGUUCAAUGAGAUGGGUUAUCAACCUACUCUCUUGAAGAUCAGCGAAUUCAAGAAGCCCGGUCUUCCCAGUAUACAGAAUUUUCUUUUUGGGAUUUACCUUCGAUGCCUCAUAGGUUGAAGUGUUAGUUUAGACAAAGGAUGAAUGGAGGUGUAUGCUAUGGUCACAGGCAUUUACUAUGAUCUACCUUUUGACUAUGCGACUCAGAUAUGGAAAGAAUUUUUGAAGAGUGUUGAAAACACGAAUGCAGUAGAUGGGGUUUCAUGUGCAAGGUAUUGGAUUUUAAUUCUUCGAUACGCUUAUGAAAAAGGAAGGUGUUUUGGUGUCUGCUGAUGAGCCGAAAGCAGAAUUCGUGAAGUAUCAUUACCCAAAGACGAUUGAAGAUGAUGUGAGUAUCCUUCCUUUAGUUGCUAGGAUUCCUGAUGGGAUGCUCAAUAAGGUUGAUCCUUCAAAUCCAGUGUUGGAGGCAUAUUUACUCACUAUCAGCACAAAUAAUGGCAUUGGUGCUUUGUUGGAAAAACAUGAUGAAGGUUCUUCAAAGAAAUAUCGAAAACAAAAGACAACUGAUGAUGUUCCUGAAGAAAAAUUUGAUCAAUCACCCAAGAAGAAGGAUGGAGUAGUGAUUAAAGUUUCAAAGAAGUCAAAUAAAAAUGUUGAGCCUGAAACUGUUACACCUUCAAAGGAAAUUCUUCCUUUGAAAACUGGUGUAUUCAAGAGGCUUAAAAAGAAAGCUCAUAGAUCACGCAUUUCUCCUGAACGAUCUGGUAGUUUUUCUCCUUCUGUUGUUCGUAAGUCGCGUGUUACACGAAAAAGUCCUAUAAUUCAUGAGAUUCCUAUACCUGUUUCUCCGGCAUCAAAGAAACGAAGGGCAGAAGAUAUGGCCAAACAUAUUUCAAAGAAGAAACAAAAGAAAAUUCGCAAUGGUUAUUCAUGAUGACUCUACUGAAGAAGAAGUAGUUCCAGACUCUCUGGUGAUCAAUACUCCCAUUACUUCGAAUGUUGAGACUUCUGUUCUUGUCUCUACAUCUAUUGUUUCAACGAAAGUUUCUACACCAGAACAGAUUGUAGCUACUUUACCUCCGGAGUCAACUAUUGAAACUUCUCAUGCUCAGGGUACUUCUUGUGUUGUUACUUCUGAUGGGUUUAUACAAACAAUCCUAUGUGUGCAUGCAACCCUAGAGUUGGAUCUAUGUUUUCACUAUUAGUUAUACAAUUUUAUGAACACAAAAUUCAUAUAUAAAAUAGAAUACAUACCUUUUGUUGUUAUAUAGCGAUAACAACUAGUUCCUUGAAUUUCCUUAGCUCUUGAAAGCAAGUACCACAAGUGUAGUACCUCUAAUGGCUCACAAACACACUAGGUGAAAGGAUGAAUAUGGGAGAGAGGAUAGAAGGCUAUCUUGCCCUAUAUUUCGUCCCUUUUAGGGUUUCCCAAGGAUUAGACGAAAUCUUAGUGCCUUAGGGUGCUAUUUAUACUUAAGGCUAACUAGGGUUUCAAGGUGUAAACCCUAAUCCCUUAGCUUAGGGCCUAAGCAAGUCCAUGGACUCCUUUCCUUAAGCCCUUGGAUGAAAACUCCUAGAUCCUUCUAGGAUUUUCGUUCAAGCCUUAAUAAAGGUGAUCCAAUGGCCCAAAGCCUCAACUAUUGAAUAAUUACAAAAUAGCCCCUGCACUUUCAGUCAGUUCCUUUAAUCCCAAAAUUAAUUCCUAAUUAAUUUCUGAUUAAAUACUAAUUAAUAAUAUGAUUCCAAAUUAAUAUAUUAUUCAUAUAAUAUAUUAAAAAAUCAUAUUUAUACCCUAAUUUAUUAUUCUUAACAAUAAACCAACCUCUCUCCUCAACAAUCAUCCUGUCUAGUCACCAGUGUGAAGGCAACCCAAAAGGACCAUGCACAAUCGGGUCAAGUACAUACCAAAAUAGUUAUGGACUUAGACACUAAUCCAACAGUCUCCCACUUGGAUAAGUCUAAUAACUAUUCUGCGUAUAACCUCAGAUCCUGAUUAGCAAUCGUAGCUUUCAAAAGCCGCUGUCAACUCUGAUCUUAUCAGAAGCGUGUCCUUUAGAUAAGGGAUCAUAUAUUCCUCCAUUCUUGAUAUCGUAUAGACUUGAGACAUGGAUUUUGAUCAUUCUCUCAGUCUAUGUUCUGUUUCCCGAUUUCCGAUUUAUGACGACUGACAACAGACUACAAUUGAACACAUCAAAUUAGUCUCGGCUUGGCCAAGCGCUUAGGGUGUCAUCACUAAAUCAUCGAGGGGCCCACAGAUAUCGCUUUCAUCCCACUUUGGAUAAAAGGAACGGAUAAACUUUGAUUCAAUUCUUGCUUGCACUCACUUACCGAAUCACACAUGACACUAUGUUUUAUGACACCAAGUUACUAGUGCGUUUACAUAUUAUCAAUGUGCAACCGAUUCGCAAGAUACAACUCACACAUCUCGGUUUCAAGAAUAUAAGAUGUUAUCNNNNNNNNNNNNNNNNNNNNNNNNNNNNNNNNNNNNNNNNNNNNNNNNNNNNNNNNNNNNNNNNNNNNNNNNNNNNNNNNNNNNNNNNNNNNNNNNNNNNNNNNNNNNNNNNNNNNNNNNNNNNNNNNNNNNNNNNNNNNNNNNNNNNNNNNNNNNNNNNNNNNNNNNNNNNNNNNNNNNNNNNNNNNNNNNNNNNNNNNNNNNNNNNNNNNNNNNNNNNNNNNNNNNNNNNNNNNNNNNNNNNNNNNNNNNNNNNNNNNNNNNNNNNNNNNNNNNNNNNNNNNNNNNNNNNNNNNNNNNNNNNNNNNNNNNNNNNNNNNNNNNNNNNNNNNNNNNNNNNNNNNNNNNNNNNNNNNNNNNNNNNNNNNNNNNNNNNNNNNNNNNNNNNNNNNNNNNNNNNNNNNNNNNNNNNNNNNNNNNNNNNNNNNNNNNNNNNNNNNNNNNNNNNNNNNNNNNNNNNNNNNNNNNNNNNNNNNNNNNNNNNNNNNNNNNNNNNNNNNNNNNNNNNNNNNNNNNNNNNNNNNNNNNNNNNNNNNNNNNNNNNNNNNNNNNNNNNNNNNNNNNNNNNNNNNNNNNNNNNNUAAGAAUAUCAAAUUCUUGCCACUUAUAGAAUAUGCUAGAUUCUAACAUUUUAUGCAAUGAUCCUUUCGUAAAGUCAUAGCUCAAAAUCAUCAAGACUUGGCCAAUCUCUAUCAGAAACAAUUCUAUAGAUAUGAUGUCUCUCACUCAAAGUACAUUCCUUUGAACAUCCUUCUUGCAUAAAAGUUUCUAAUCUAGACAUAGAUUCUCAAUAUCCAACUCCCAAUAUGGAAACAUUUCCAUAUUUUCCAUAUGACAACUCAUUCUUAAUAGAAUCUUAUCUAUUCAUAAUAAUGUCGAUAUGGUCCAUCCAAUACCAUACUUCCAACUACUCACAAGCGACCAAUCCUCAGCGAGCUUUGGAUCGUCCUUUGAUAGUUGUUUAAUUAUCUUAGUCAAAACCGAUUCUUGUCUUUUUUCCUUCUUAAUGCGCUAGACAUUUGGAAAAUUUUAGAAUGGUCAAAUAUUAUAGCAUUUGCAAUCGAUCCUAUACCCGAAGCGUAUGGGACACGAUGCAUAAUGUCUUACAUAAAGAUACGAUACUUUAUCAAUCUUCUGCCAUAAUAUCUUAUGUGUCACGUUCUUCUAAUUCGAAUUAUGAAGAGGGAUGCCAUAAUCAUAAUCGAAAUUUUGAGAACGCACUAUGUAUCCUUGACUAAAUUUAUUAACAUUCCACAACCUAAGCCUUUAGAUUUGAAAUGAAGCAUAAUAUUCUCUCCCUUAAUUAUAGCAAAACAACUUUUCAACCCUUACGACUUUGCAAAGUAUAAUCUUGUUUUCUAUAAUUAAUAUUGCUAACUUGCAAUACUUGCCUUAAUAAUCAUACAAGCACAACAUUUAUGCUUCCACUAUCAUGAUGAUUAUUAUCAUAUAAGCAUAACACUUAUGCUCCCACUAGCUUUGACAUGUAUUCAGAAACCAGCUUAACUUCCAGAAAAACAAUACCUAUUGAAUUUCUUAAGUUCAUAUUUCCAUUACCUAAUGCUUUGAUAAUCCUUUAUCUAAGCUUCUCAAACUUAUACACCUUUGCCUUAGAUAGCUCAUAUGUGUGUCUAAACAAUUCAGACUAAUUGCCAAGUCUCACAAUUUGAAGCAUGGAAAGGGAUACCGUAACCAUAAUCGAAUUCGAGAAUAUAAUUUUCACAAUCACUAUCUUCUUAAAAUCUCUCUUAGUGAAAGCAUUUCCUCACAGUCCUUUUCAUGAAGGAUGGAAUCUUAUGUCACUUAGAUUUUAAUGGUGUAUGUGUUCCUAUCCCUGCGAAUUUGUCAAAACCAAAGUUUGCGACAAAUCCAAAAUCAUAUGGACCGAACUCUUAAUAUUUAUUUCUUGCCUUAUGGUAACACGAGUGCCCACAUGUCUUCCAAGUAGUUAAGCAGCUCACGCUUUUCCUAUCAAUGUACUUUUCAUUGAUCAAGGUGCUUGUCUUUUANNNNNNNNNNNNNNNNNNNNNNNNNNNNNNNNNNNNNNNNNNNNNNNNNNNNNNNNNNNNNNNNNNNNNNNNNNNNNNNNNNNNNNNNNNNNNNNNNNNNUAAUAUUAUUUAAUUAAUAUAAGUCAUAAAUUAAUUAGGAAUUAACUUGGUCACUUAAAGAGAUUAAUUAAAUGAAGGGGUAUAAACUGUCAAUUAUUUGACAGUUGCACUUUGGGCUAUAUAUCCUUUAUGGAUAAGGGGUGGACGAUUUCUAGGGCUAAGGAUAGCCAUAAAAUCGUCCAAGGCUUAUCAUGGAAAGGAUUUGGAUUGCUUAGGGCUUAAGUUAUCCAAUUAGGNGAAACCCUAGGAGCCUUACAAGUAUAAAUAGACCCCAAGGGCUAAGGGAUUUCGUGACUUGUGCUUAGAGAAGAAACCCUGGCCGAAUUUCUCUUCCCUCCUCUCUCUCAAAUCAUCCUCCUUGCUAGUUGGUGUUUGUAAGCCAUUAGAGGAGUGACAAUUGUGACUCUAAAGCCUCAAGGACAACAAGAUCAAGCAAGUGAUUCAAGGUAAACUUCUAAUCUCUGAUUUCAUAUUAUUGUUAUUGUAUAUUAGCCAUUAGAAGUCUUAGAUUCAAUGUAUGUUCAAUUAGAGAAACCUAGAUCCAAGCAUUAGGGUUGCAUGUGCACAUAGGAAUGUUCAUAUGGCCAAAACCCAUCAUAUAUCCACAGAGGUCUGGAGGCAGAUUCACCAAUCAACUUUGCUUUUCCAGUGCUCCAAAUCAUUGCUGAUUCAGCAACAAUAAGCAUAUAGGUGAGAUCGAUGAGGGUCACAUCGUGGUUCAUCAUAUAGUACUCUCUUACGAACUUACUAUAUGAUUCAGUAACUAACUGAAGAACCCAGUCAACAGCCAGCUCUUCACAGAAAACGGAUCCCAACAUUCUUAACCUAUCAAUGUGUGACUUCAUCUCUAGGACGUGUGCACAUACUGACUUUCCUUCUUCAUGUUUACUUGCCAAAAGGGCUUGAGUGAGCUUGAACUUUUCAGGCUUUCGAACUUGUGGGUUAGGGAGAAUAAUUGGAGGAGGUGGAGGAAGUGAAGCAUGAUCUCUUGUUCCUCGAUCAUAUCGCGGAAUAUCAUCUUCAUGUGGAACGCUUGUUCCAUGAGAUUUGAGAAGACCAUAGCUGUCAUACUUUGACAUCUACAAAAUGGGAGAAAAUUCAAGUUAAGUUGAUUUGAAUCCUUGAUGUGACACCCAAAUGAAACAUCAAGGCUAGGAUCCAAGACAAUAAUCUACAACCUAGAAGAGGGAUGCCGUAAUCUAGUUGCAGAAUAUUUGAGAGUAGGUAAAUGAAUAUUUACUAAUUUCCACCAAGAAAAACGAAAAAGGAAUUUAAGUUUUAAAUCUAUUGAAAAUUCCNNNNNNNNNNNNNNNNNNNNNNNNNNNNNNNNNNNNNNNNNNNNNNNNNNNNNNNNNNNNNNNNNNNNNNNNNNNNNNNNNNNNNNNNNNNNNNNNNNNNAAUCAAGCAAAAGUCAGAAACUUUUGAAAAGUUCAAAGAGUUAAAAAAAUAAAGUGGAGAAUCAAUUGCACAGGAAAAUCAAGAUGCUUCGAUCCGAUCAAGGAGGAGAGUACCUAAGUCUUGAAUUCCACGAUUAUCUCAAGGAGUGUGGAAUAGUUUCACAAUUGACGCCACCUAGGACACCGCAGUUGAAUGGUGUGGCAGAAAGGCGUAAUCGAACCUUGUUGGACAUGGUUCGCUCUAUGAUAAGUCGUGCUUCACUACCUAUCUCUUUUUGGGGGGAUGCCUUAGAGACUGUCACCCAUAUCCUUAAUCUAGUCCCUACAAAGAAAGUUGCCAAAACUCUUCAUGAGAUGUGGACUGGUAAAGUACCCAAACUAGACCACAUCAAGAUUUGGGGUUGAGAGGCUUUCGUGAGACGCAAGACUCAUGAUGAGCUCGAACCUCGAAGUGAGAGGUGUAUUUUCAUCGGGUACCCACAACAAUCUUGUGGUUACCUCUUCUACAGACCUAGUGAAAAUGUGGUCUUUAUAGCUAGGAGGGUUGUCGAGAGAGAGAGAGAGAGAGAGAGAGAGAGAGAGNNNNNNNNNNNNNNNNNNNNNNNNNNNNNNNNNNNNNNNNNNNNNNNNNNNNNNNNNNNNNNNNNNNNNNNNNNNNNNNNNNNNNNNNNNNNNNNNNNNNNNNNNNNNNNNNNNNNNNNNNNNNNNNNNNNNNNNNNNNNNNNNNNNNNNNNNNNNNNNACGUAUAUUAGUGAUGGUACACUAAUAAACCUUGAUGAACCUAAUAGCUAUAAAGAAGCCAUGGCAGGCCCGGAGUCUGCGAAAUGGAAAGAGGCAAUGGAUAGCAAGAUCCAAUCCAUGUAUGAUAACCAAGUUUGGAAUUUGGUUGAUAAUGUGCCCGGACGUAAGACUGUUGGGUGCAAAUGGAUCUUCAAGAAGAAGACCGACGCGGAUGGAAAAGUACACAC
rnacentral:lncRNA from 1 species